rnacentral:rRNA from 1 species
AUUGAACGCUGGCGGCAGGCCUAACACAUGCAAGUCGAGCGAGCGGCGGACGGGUGAGUAAUGUAUGGGAAACUGCCCGAUAGAGGGGGAUAACUACUGGAAACGGUAGCUAAUCCCGCAUACCAUCGGAUGUACCCAGAUGGGAUUAGCUAGUAGGGGGGGUAACGGCUCACCUAGGCGACGAUCCCUAGCUGGUCUGAGAGGAUGACCAGCCACACGGGAACUGAGACACGGUCCAGACUCCUACGGGAGGCAGCAGUGGGGAAUAUUGCACAAUGGGCGCAAGCCUGAUGCAGCCAUGCCGCGUGUAUGAAGAAGGCCUUAGGGUUGUAAAGUACUUUCAGCGAGGAGGCGUUACUCGCAGAGGAAGCACCGGCUAACUCCGUGCCAGCAGCCGCGGUAAUAC